UUUGCGGUGUUUUGUUACAGUUCUUCACCAUGCCUGCUUUUCACAUACUCACUCUCCCUCUUAUAGCCCUAUUGCCUCCUUUCGUCAUAGUUUGGUUACCACCCUUGAGCUGCAGUGGGAGAGGUAUGCUCGCUCCCGUUUUGUACAGGCGUCCCCCAAUUUCUUGGCUUCUCUUCCGCUUUCGGUGUCCAUUCUCUCCACUGGACAACCAACCCUACCCCUUUCACUUUCUUAACCUCAAAUUCAAGCUCGUCUCCAUCUUUUCCAUCAAGAGCAGGACAAUCGCCAUACCCUCCAAGACUUCCAACUAACCAUCGCUUACUUCCUCCACAAGCGCCAGCAAUGUCAAGCACACCCCAAAGUUCUUCGAGUGACACUUCAUUCACGCUAGAACCUGUAAAAAAUUCUCGGACCUUGAUUCUGACCUCCUCCGGGGAUGACCUUUGGCCAAUACCAGGGGCAGUGGCUGGAAGUGUAAAUCUUCCUGCAAGUUUGUGUGGAUGGGAGGAUUCUUUGGAAGAGGGUGUGAAUGGGAGCUGCAUAGUGCGAACUGAGCGGGGUGAACGGAGGGGCAUGCCAGUCGCAAUUCGGAAAAUGGCGGUUUGAGACGCAUAGAUAGGUCGAGGAGGUUGGGUAAUGUCAUCACUGGGAUAGAAUGACGGGAUCGAAGAGCUGCCAACGCCAGAAACCUCGACAUCGUAUCUGUUCAACCGCAGUCUCGGCCCAAUUUCUGAAUUCAGCACCAGUCAUCUCAAUUUUGUGAUCAGAGUGUCUAAAAACCCGAUCUGUUCUUCCAGUGGGGUCCACGAAUCCCUUUUUGGCAAAGCAGUCCCCAUUGGCUUGAGGGAAUUUGGCAUUAAAGUCGAAAUUCUGGAAAUUUCGUCAACGAGACGAGAUCAGGAUCAAAGAUCUUACUCACAGGAGUCGAGAUAAGCAUAAUUCGCGGUCGAUAAGUACCCAAAGUAACCACACCAAACCGACUGAGCACAUUCGGAUCCAAAUGCUCAAUCACUUCCAACGCCGUAAUCGCCUCGUAACCUUCAAGCCUCGCAUUAUAUUUUUCGAGUCCACCGAGCCAUAGUUCGGUAGUGAUAGGUUCCCAUCUUGGUCGAGGCGGGGGAAAUGUCGAUGUUUCAGAGUGAGGUGAAAGGACGGAAAGGGCGGGGUUCAUGACUUCAGGAUUGGCAUCGAUACCUGCAAGGCGGGCAAUGAAGAGCUCGUCUUCAUGAUCAAAAUCUUCUUCAUCCUCAGCAUGUCGGGUUUCAGAUGGCUCCUCUCUGAUGGGGGGCUCGCAAAUGGUUGAAGCUGGCAUCACCAGGGUCUCGAGAAGAGCACCUGGACCACAACCUAGAUCGAGGACCUGCACGGUUGGGUCAGAUCCAUCCUGCUGUUGAAAACAUGCUACUAUAAACUCGAACACGUACAGAUCGUACACCUUCUUUACGAAGUGUUUGUAGUGCCCAUUGUCGUCGUUGCAUCCAAAGUCUGCGACACAAUCAGCACACAAUCAAUAAAAUGACUAGGUGUCACGUGUGUAGGCGUCAGGUAGCUCGGACACGGCUUGUAGACUCACUCGGGAGUAAAAGUGACACCGGUGACGGUACUCUCCUCUACCAUAGACACCUCUGGGAUGUGCUCGGUCUCUGGGAGAGCAUCGCGAGGAAGGAGUUCUGGCGACUCGUCGGAUGAUUGGUCAAAGUUGAAUUCGCCGGGAGGCGGCAUGUCGUUUCCGCUUUGCUGUUAGUAGAGACUGAUGCUUAAACGCCUAUGGGCAUACACGCAGAGAUAUAUGACCUUCUGGGGCUUGACAAUGACCUGGUGAUUUUAUGACGUAAAAGUAAGAAGAAAGGAAAAAGAGAAGGCCAGUUGAAUUGCAAGAAAUGGCACAAUGAACCGUUGAAUAGCCGGACCGGGAGGGAACAGGGAAAAAAGCGGGGCAGCCGCGGCAAUUGCUCCUAGGACCAGGGAGAAGCCGCCUGGCGAUGAACAGAGAUGUUCUAGAGGCAUUUCAUUGAUUAAGCAUAGCGAGCCGGGGAUAAUAUGUGCACUAUGCACAGGGAAAGAAAAGGUGCUUGCAUGUUUGAUGCUGCAAUGCUCAGAAGGAAGGGCAAGGCAAGAAAUAAGAAGCAAUACAACGGAGGACACCGGCCGCAAAUGAGGAGGUAGUAUGACGAGAGAAGUCGACGGCCGGGGAGCCACGCUCACUUGUUCGUUGUUGGGGGUUCCCCCACGCAAAUAGGGGGAUUGCGUACUCUCCUUCCCUGGCCACACCCCACUCUAAUUACUCCUGGCCAUCGUCUGUCGGUGACCGCCGCCAUUGGGCCUCGCACUAAAAAAAAUACCUCCCUCCUCGAUCGGUCCUCCGUCGCCACUCGCCGCUCACCCAUCGGGCUGUUCAUGUGCCUUGAGUUACUCCCCACGGGGUCCCGAUUACGGCAAUCAACUGCCGAAUGCCAAAUCGCAAAUCGCGCAUGUCACGGAAACAAACAUUCCAGCACUUUUCAUCUUUGCCUUAUUAUUAUUGCAUUUCCUCCUGUUAUUAUGUCAGGAAUUCUCGCCACACAACAAUCAUCGAGCCGCUGCAGAGUGGCCGCAACAAGUUGGGUCAAUCUCUUUAUCCUUCAUGUCGAUUCUGCUACUCUCGGUAAUCAGUCCGCCAAGCUCUGACCGCCCUGAUGGACGACGGUAGUGAACGGUGCAGUUGAUCUUCUGCAAAAGUAACAUGGUGAAUUAUUUGUGCCAAAGGGACUGUAAGCUUGAGUGGUCAAUAAUUAACCGGGCAAUCACUGGCGGCCUUUAAAGAAAAGAAGCAAUUAUAAACAAAUUUUCCAACAGCUUUCUUUACCGAUUUGUGCUUCCGAUGAGGCUGAAAAAG
rnacentral:sRNA from 1 species